UACGUAGGGUGCAAGCAUUAUCCGGAGUGACUGGGCGUAAAGAGUUGCGUAGGUGGUUUAUUAAGUGAAUGGUGAAAUCUGGCGGCUCAACCGUACAGACUAUUAUUCAAACUGGUAAACUCGAGAAUGGUAGAGGUAACUGGAAUUUCUAGUGUAGGAGUGAAAUCCGUAGAUAUUAGAAGGAACACCAAUGGCGUAGGCAGGUUACUGGACCAUUUCUGACACUAAGGCACGAAAGCGUGGGGAGCGAACCGG
rnacentral:rRNA from 1 species